CCAAUAUUGGCUGAGCUGCUCCA
rnacentral:miRNA from 1 species